rnacentral:rRNA from 1 species
AGAGUCUGAUCCUGGCUCAGGAUGAACGCUGGCGGCGUGCUUAACACAUGCAAGUCGAACGAUCCUUCGGGAUAGUGGCGGACGGGUGAGUAACGCGUGGGAAUCUGCCCUCAGGAGGGGGAUAACGGCUGGAAACGGCCGCUAAUACCCCAUAUGCCGAGAGGUGAAAUGAAUUUCGCCUGAGGAUGAGCCCGCGUCUGAUUAGCUAGUUGGUGGGGUAAAGGCCUACCAAGGCAACGAUCAGUAGCUGGUCUGAGAGGAUGAUCAGCCACACUGGGACUGAGACACGGCCCAGACUCCUACGGGAGGCAGCAGUGGGGAAUUUUCCGCAAUGGGCGAAAGCCUGACGGAGCAACGCCGCGUGAGGGAUGAAGGCCUCUGGGCUGUAAACCUCUUUUCUCAAGGAAGAAGACCUGACGGUACUUGAGGAAUAAGCCACGGCUAAUUCCGUGCCAGCAGCCGCGGUAAUACGGGAGUGGCAAGCGUUAUCCGGAAUUAUUGGGCGUAAAGCGUCCGCAGGCGGCCUUGUAAGUCUGUUGUUAAAGCGUGGAGCUCAACUCCAUUUAAGCAAUGGAAACUACAAGGCUGGAGUGUGGUAGGGGCAGAGGGAAUUCCCGGUGUAGCGGUGAAAUGCGUAGAUAUCGGGAAGAACACCAGUGGCGAAGGCGCUCUGCUGGGCCAUAACUGACGCUCAUGGACGAAAGCCAGGGGAGCGAAAGGGAUUAGAUACCCCUGUAGUCCUGGCCGUAAACGAUGAACACUAGGUGUCGGGGGAAUCGACCCCCUCGGUGUCGUAGCCAACGCGUUAAGUGUUCCGCCUGGGGAGUACGCACGCAAGUGUGAAACUCAAAGGAAUUGACGGGGGCCCGCACAAGCGGUGGAGUAUGUGGUUUAAUUCGAUGCAACGCGAAGAACCUUACCAGGGUUUGACAUCCUGCGAACCCCUGAGAAAUCGGGGGGUGCCUUCGGGAGCGCAGAGACAGGUGGUGCAUGGCCGUCGUCAGCUCGUGUCGUGAGAUGUUGGGUUAAGUCCCGCAACGAGCGCAACCCACGUCUUUAGUUGCCAGCAUUCAGUUGGGCACUCUAGAGAGACCGCCGGUGAUAAACCGGAGGAAGGUGUGGAUGACGUCAAGUCAUCAUGCCCCUUACAUCCUGGGCUACACACGUACUACAAUGCUACGGACAAAGGGCAGCAAGCUCGCGAGAGUUAGCAAAUCCCAUAAACCGUGGCUCAGUUCAGAUCGUAGGCUGCAACUCGCCUACGUGAAGGAGGAAUCGCUAGUAAUCGCAGGUCAGCAUACUGCGGUGAAUACGUUCCCGGGCCUUGUACACACCGCCCGUCACACCAUGGAAGUUGGCCAUGCCCGAAGUCGUUACAC